GUUCCUACAGUGCUCUCGGGAUCCAUUUGGAAAUGGCACUGAACCUGGCCAGGAGUUAGUAAUAUUUUCAGUGAAUAAUCUCGUUUCUGUUAGCGACCUGAGAGCUUCGGGUGAUAAAACAGCCCACACAAGAACAUGCAGAAGCAGAAAAUGCAAGAUAAUGCGUGUGUGGGGUAAUGAGUACUUGCACCAUAAAUCAAGGAGCUCUCUGGCAGAGGACUGCGAAAAUACCCAGGCUUGUUAGUCAAUGGGGAAAGGAAGCUAACAGUUUAAAAUGCAGUUGCGAAGAGAGCCCCGCAAAUGUGACUGAUGUGUGUGAGGUCAAACCUCUGAGUUGCCUGUGAGACAUUACUGUGUCCUGGACUGACGAACCGUGUCCAGGAAAAGGAACCUGUACAGAAAUACACCCAGGAGGGUUACUGGAGCAGAGCAAAGCUUAUCUACAAGAAUACACUUGGAAUAUUUGUCUGGCUAAUGCGGCAAAAGCAAACGUGGAGGAGGGGGUAUGGCUGCUGGUAACAAAAAAGCAAGGGCAGAAUCAAGGAGUGGCCAUUCAAGCUAAUAAACAAGGUUGAUAGAACAGCGUAGAUCUAAAUUGUAAGUAGAGAAGCUGCUGACGGCUGGUUUCUGGUGAGGAGGGUGAUCGGAAUGAAGAUGCAACAGGAGUGCUCACACAGAACAGAUUCACGCCAGCUGCAACUUUCCAGAUGAGAGCAGGAACCACAUCAGGGCACUCGUGAAGGGACGGAACACUGGACCUGAGCUUGGCUGAGGUCAUUGGCAGCGCUGGAUGCACAGGAGCUAGGCUAGUAGGGAGCCAGGAGGGCACAGGGUAAGAUUUGAUGUACUGCUGGAAGACUGUGUGAUAGAGCUAUGCUGCUUGUUUGUUUGUUUGUUCUUAAGGAAAUCAAAGCAUUUAAGUUUUAAGGUUGUAGUGCUUAUGUUUUGCAGUAGUAGAGCCUAAGUCUUAUGAGGAGUGGCUGAGGGAACUGAGAUUGUUUAGUCUGGAGAAGAAGAGGCUCAGGGAAGACCUUACCACUCUCCAACUACCUGAAAGAGAGUUGUGGUGAGGGGUUGGUCUCUUCCUCCAUGUAACUAAUGAUAGGACUAGAGGGAAUGGCAGGCAAGCACACUGUAAAGGGAGAUCAUAAACCACCAGAUAAAAUGUGCUGGCAGUUCUUUUUCCCUCAUGUUAAACUGUGUAUAGUCUUCAUUUAAGUAUCUUUGCAAUCAGGGAGACAAAAUUUGAACAGGUGCCUGGUGUAUGAUGCAGAUCCAUGGGGUGUACACAGACCCAGCCUACUUGCUUAGUCUCCCCACUCCUCCCAAAUCCACACUGCCUCUCUGCUACACCACUGUUGUAGUCUGCGUGGCCCCGUGCUGAGCCACUGCGGCCCCGUGAAUCUGUAGAAAGCUAACCCAGCCUAGAAAAGCAAAUUGUGAAAUAGUUGCUAGCGGUCAGGGAUUCAGACAGGACAGAGGAACAGAGUUAACUCCAUCCACAGCUCAAAAUGGUUUCAACUCACACCUGUUGCUUCUCACGAG
rnacentral:lncRNA from 1 species